rnacentral:lncRNA from 1 species
GGCGUCCGCGUGCGCAGGCGCUUCCUGACUCCCGGGUCUGGGUAACCCGACUGUGCUCUUCAUUUUCGGUGGCGUGGCUCUGCCUCCUCAGGUCUCUCCUUGCCUAGAUAAGAUGGUAUUAAGGAGAAGUUCCUGACCCCUGGCUCCUAGCUACAUUGUCCUCGGAACCAGUGACACCAGAGGAUGUGCCAGUGGACUUUACGUUGUAAGAAUGAAAACAGACCAUUACCAGAGACCCUGAAAAACCACAUGAACUCUGUCUCCUUGGUUCACAGAGGGAAGAGAUAGUGUCUUCUCCUUAAUCUUGAAUACCUUACCUGAAGUCAGAGCGGCACCUCCAGAGCAGAGCAUUUCCAAAAGACAAAUAAUAUUCUCACAUGACAUUAGAAAAAUGUUCAAACAAUGGUGCCUGAGAUUCCAC